CCUACGGGGAGCUGCAGUGGGGAAUAUUGCACAAUGGGGGAAACCCUGAUGCAGCGACGCCGCGUGAGUGAAGAAGCGUUUCGGCGCGUAAAGCUCUGUCAGCGGGGAAGAAACACGGUUCGCGAGAGCCGCGGACGGUACCCGACCAAGAAGCCCCGGCUAACUACGUGCCAGCAGCCGCGGUAAUACGUAGGGGGCAAGCGUUAUCCGGAUUCACUGGGUGUAAAGGGAGCGUAGACGGCGAGACAAGUCUGGAGUGAAAGGCCGGGGCCCAACCCCGGGACUGCUCUGGAAACUGCCUGGCUGGAGUACAGGAGAGGUAAGUGGAAUUCCUAGUGUAGCGGUGAAAUGCGUAGAUAUUAGGAGGAACACCAGUGGCGAAGGCGACUUGCUGGGCCAUCACUGACGGUCAGGGACGAAAGCGUGGGGAGCAAAUAGGAUUAGAUACCCCGGUAGUC
rnacentral:rRNA from 1 species